AGGCUGUGCAGCUUUCGCGAGGCACCGCUUUGGCGCCCGGACCGAGGAAGAAGAUGCAAGCCAGCCCCAUCCGUAUCCCAACUGUUAGCAAUGACAUCGACUGGGAUUUCUGCUUCCGUAUGUCACAGCAAACCGAGAUCCCAGCUCACCAGCAAACAGAUGAGUUGUAUCCCACUGGUGGGUGUGGAGAGAGUGAAGAGGAAACUAAAGCUAAAGAGAAGGAGAAGGCCAUAGACUGUAUGUCUCAUCCCAAAGAGAAAUUAGCCCAAUCCCAGAAGAAAGUAGCUCAGCUGAUUAAGGAAAAAAUGGUAAAACAAAAAACUCACUAAAAUUUUGUUUCCAUUUAAA
rnacentral:sRNA from 1 species